GCUGGGUGCAGUCGUGUUCUCGAGUGCCUGUAGUCCCAGCUACUCGGGAGGCUGAGACUAGAGGAUCGCUUGAGUCCAGGAGUUCUGGGCUGUAAUGGGCUGUGCUGAUUGGGUGUCUGCACUAAGUUCGGCACAAAUAUGGUGACCUCCUGGGAGCAGGGGGGACCAUCAAGUUGCCUAAGGAGGGAUGAACCAGCUCAGGUCGAAAACGGAGCAGGUCAAAACUCCUGUGCUGAUCAGUAGUGGGAUCCUGCCUGUGAAGAGCCACUGCAUGCCAGCAGCCUGGGCAACAUAGCGAGACCCCAUCUCUA
ensembl:misc_RNA Metazoa_SRP Metazoan signal recognition particle RNA